rnacentral:rRNA from 1 species
AGAGUUUGAUCCUGGCUCAGGACGAACGCUGGCGGCGUGCCUAAUACAUGCAAGUUGAGCGCUGAAGGUUGGUACUUGUACCGACUGGAUGAGCAGCGAACGGGUGAGUAACGCGUGGGGAAUCUGCCUUUGAGCGGGGGACAACAUUUGGAAACGAAUGCUAAUACCGCAUAAAAACUUUAAACACAAGUUUUAAGUUUGAAAGAUGCAAUUGCAUCACUCAAAGAUGAUCCCGCGUUGUAUUAGCUAGUUGGUGAGGUAAAGGCUCACCAAGGCGAUGAUACAUAGCCGACCUGAGAGGGUGAUCGGCCACAUUGGGACUGAGACACGGCCCAAACUCCUACGGGAGGCAGCAGUAGGGAAUCUUCGGCAAUGGACGAAAGUCUGACCGAGCAACGCCGCGUGAGUGAAGAAGGCUUUCGGAUCGUAAAACUCUGUUGGUAGAGAAGAACGUUGGUGAGAGUGGAAAGCUCAUCAAGUGACGGUAACUACCCAGAAAGGGACGGCUAACUACGUGCCAGCAGCCGCGGUAAUACGUAGGUCCCGAGCGUUGUCCGGAUUUAUUGGGCGUAAAGCGAGCGCAGGUGGUUUAUUAAGUCUGGUGUAAAAGGCAGUGGCUCAACCAUUGUAUGCAUUGGAAACUGGUAGACUUGAGUGCAGGAGAGGAGAGUGGAAUUCCAUGUGUAGCGGUGAAAUGCGUAGAUAUAUGGAGGAACACCGGUGGCGAAAGCGGCUCUCUGGCCUGUAACUGACACUGAGGCUCGAAAGCGUGGGGAGCAAACAGGAUUAGACACCCUGGUAGUCCACGCCGUAAACGAUGAGUGCUAGAUGUAGGGAGCUAUAAGUUCUCUGUAUCGCAGCUAACGCAAUAAGCACUCCGCCUGGGGAGUACGACCGCAAGGUUGAAACUCAAAGGAAUUGACGGGGGCCCGCACAAGCGGUGGAGCAUGUGGUUUAAUUCGAAGCAACGCGAAGAACCUUACCAGGUCUUGACAUACUCGUGCUAUUCCUAGAGAUAGGAAGUUCCUUCGGGACACGGGAUACAGGUGGUGCAUGGUUGUCGUCAGCUCGUGUCGUGAGAUGUUGGGUUAAGUCCCGCAACGAGCGCAACCCUUGUUGUCAGUUGCCAGCAUUAAGUUGGGCACUCUGGCGAGACUGCCGGUGACAAACCGGAGGAAGGUGGGGACGACGUCAAGUCAUCAUGCCCCUUAUGACCUGGGCUACACACGUGCUACAAUGGACGGUACAACGAGUCGCAAACUCGCGAGGGCAAGCUAAUCUCUUAAAGCCGUUCUCAGUUCGGAUUGUAGGCUGCAACUCGCCUACAUGAAGUCGGAAUCGCUAGUAAUCGCGAAUCAGCAUGUCGCGGUGAAUACGUUCCCGGGCCUUGCACACACCGCCCGUCA